UCAGUCAGUGUAGAUGAAGGGGAGGAGUCAGGUUAAAUCCACUUCAGUCAGUGUAGAUGAAGGGGAGGAGUCAGGUUAAAUCCACUUCAGUCAGUGUAGAUGAAGGGGAGGAGUCAGGUUAAAUCCACUUCAGUCAGUGUAGAUGAAGGGGAGGAGUCAGGUUAAAUCCACUUCAGUCAGUGUAGAUGAAGGGGAGGAGUCAGGUUAAAUCCACUUCAGUCAGUGUAGAUGAAGGGGAGGAGUCAGGUUAAAUCCACUUCAGUCAGUGUAGAUGAGGGGGGAGGAGUCAGGUUAAAUCCACUUCAGUCAGUGUAGAUGAAGGGGAGGAGUCAGGUUAAAUCCACUUCAGUCAGUGUAGAUGAAGGGGAGGAGUCAGGUUAAAUCCACUUCAGUCAGUGUAGAUGAAGGGGAGGAGUCAGGUUAAAUCCACUUCAGUCAGUGUUGAUGAAGGGGAGGAGUCAGGUUAAAUCCACUUCAGUCAGUGUAGAUGAAGGGGAGGAGUCAGG